CAGUGUCUGGCUUAGCUCAUCAGCAGGAUAUUUCCUCUGCUUUACACAGUCACUCAGAGACCCACGCUGACAGAAACUGUCCCCAGAGGAACUUCUGGUGGUCUCGUUGCUGCAGCCAGGAAAGACUGAUUCUAGAGAAUUUCACUGGGCUUUUCCUGAACAGAAUGUAUUCCUUCUGCUCAAUUCACUGGCCAGGAUUUGUCACAUGGUCCCGUCCAACUAUGAAGUGCUGGGAUGUGCAGUUUUCCAUGUGCCCAGAAAAAAAGCGGGGCUGGAUUCUAGUUCCUCCCUAGAAGAGAAGGACACUUCCAUCCGCUCUGAUGGUAGGCUUCCCUGGGCCAAGUGAAGGAAAUAACACAUGCUACUCCCAAGCAGAGGGUUUGGCCAAAUAGUACUCUGCAUGCGGUACUAGAUGUUCCACACAUGCUUCUGGACUGAUCUGUCAUGAGACCUGGCAUUCAUGGGUUACAACUUUGAGAUUUUGAAAUGCAGUGUUUGCAUUGCAAGUGACAUCUGGCUGACAGGAACUUGGAGAAAUGGGAUACGAAGUGAAUGCUGCAGUUACCACAAGCAUCAUAUUUAUCAAAAGGUUUAAGAUGCAUAUUCAGUCUUUCUAAUCCAUCCUUCCAAGUCAGUGCCUUCAGACUGAUGAUCAAUUGUUUGCACUUCUUUGAACUCCCAUUAAUUUAUCUUUAUCAGCACCUAAUUCAUUGCUGUCACAUAUUAUACUCUCAAAAAAUUUGUGUGAAAUGAAUGAUGGGCUGUAACAUCUAUCAGCAGCAGCCAAAGAUAACUAGCUCACUGUCAUAAGCGUGGAAUAUCCUGAGAGGGACCCAGCUGAUGUGGCUCUGAUUGCAACGUCGAGGAUAGUCUUCUCCUUCAGAAGCAAUAUGGCUGCUGACAGCUUUUGAAAGAUUUAACAACUGGCAGCAAGAAAAACUUCCAUAGAAUCUCUUCUCUGAAAUUUUUUCUGCUGGAAAAAAGGGCAUCACUUAGCAGGCGUAAAUGUCUCAGUCACUGACUAUAAGUACAAAGGGCCCAGAAGCUGGAAUCUGAAGACAAACAUGGCUCCACUACAUUUUACUCUCAUUGCCUUGGGAAACAUUACUUAAACCAGAAGAAUCUAUUGCCCUCUUUACUUCACAGUGCUACAGAGAGGAUUACAUGAGCCAAUAUUUGUGAGUGCCCUUUGUAAAGUGAAUGUCUAGUGUAAGUCAGCACUUGCUUAUAAAGCUCCUUAAGCAUAA
ensembl:lncRNA PKN2-AS1 PKN2 antisense RNA 1